UUUCCGUAGGUGAACCUGCGGAAGGAUCAUUAUUGAAUACGUUUGGUUCUGAUGCUGGCUCUUCACUGAGCAUGUGCUCGAUCCAUAACUAUUUAUCUUCUCUUGUGCACCUUAUGUAGUCUUUCAGAGCAAGUGAUAACUCUCGCAGCAAUGCGGUUUGGGGGACUUGGGCGUGAGCCCUUCCCCUGCGUUUGCUUCUCUGGAGGGCUAUGUUUUCAUAUACACUAUAAAGUUACAGAAUGUCUUUUAAAGAUUGUGCUAGUCGCAGUCAUUAAACCUAUACAACUUUCAGCAACGGAUCUCUUGGCUCUC
rnacentral:misc_RNA from 1 species